AUUGAACGCUGGCGGCAUGCCUUACACAUGCAAGUCGAACGGCAGCACGGGCUUCGGUCUGGUGGCGAGUGGCGAACGGGUGAGUAAUGUAUCGGAACGUACCAUUGAGUGGGGGAUAACGUAGCGAAAGUUACGCUAAUACCGCAUAUUCUCUCCGGAGGAAAGCAGGGGACCGCAAGGCCUUGCGCUCUUUGAGCGGCCGAUAUCCGAUUAGCUAGUUGGUGGGGUAAAAGCUCACCAAGGCGACGAUCUGUAGCGGGUCUGAGAGGAUGAGCCGCCACACUGGAACUGAGACACGGUCCAGACUCCUACGGGAGGCAGCAGUGGGGAAUUUUGGACAAUGGGGGCAACCCUGAUUCAGCCAUGCCGCGUGAGUGAAGAAGGCCUUCGGGUUGUAAAGCUCUUUCGGCCGGGAAAAAAUCGCAUGGAUUAAUACUCUGUGUGGAUGAUGGUACUGUAUGAAUAAGCACCGGCUAACUCCGUGCCAGCCGCCGCCGUAACAC
rnacentral:rRNA from 1 species